CAUACCGUAUGUGUAGGGUUUUUGCUACUUAGAAAACUUAGUUUAUUGACAUAUACUGUUAAUCCUGUUUAUUAGGCCUUUGAAAUGAAAAACAAAUCAUUUCAAGCUUCACCCGAAUGUUGUUUAAAGGUCCCAUAUUUGACACCUUACCCAUGUUUUAUUUGAAGUGUUGAUCCAUUAGAAGAUAUAUUUGUGGUUCUAAGAACCAAAAACCAUUUCAAUGUAGUUUUACAUCUAGUAACAACAGGUCGGUGAGCCAAUCAAAAGAGACGCUCUGAUCCUCUCUUCUGAUUGGCUGACUGUUUUCUGAGCGUUCUAAUAAAAAAUAUAGCAGAUUUCAGGUAAACACAUUUAAAGUCUUUACAAUACUUGAUGGUAGAAAACAAAUAAACAAUAAUGAAAUGAAAUGAAUGAUUAAUACUAUAACAGAGGCGUUGCACAUGAGAGGAAUAUGAGUGGAGGACGAAGAGUAAGAGCAGCAGAGUUCAGCUCCGCUGUGUCCACUCUUACAGAGGUGAUCAUUGUUUCUGCCGCAGACCUGCAGAGUGAGCACAGCCUGGUCCAGCAGCCCAGGCCAACAUACACAGAGUCCAGCUCAAGAGCCACCAGGUCAGACCAGGACCAGACCGACAGCAGCACAAGGAGAGGAUUAUUCACACACUGACAGAGCUGGCUUGCUUCCCCUCGUCCUCAUCACUCCACAGCACCAAAGUGACUUUUCGACCCGAGACACUCGACUGUCAGAAACCUUCACCUGGUCUGUGAGAUGCUUUCUGUUGACUGGUCCAGCCUCUUCUUCUUCCUCUCCUCCUUUCAUCCCCUCUUCUCCUCUGGCUCUUGAGCAUCCUGCUGAUGAUACCGCCUCCUCCCAGCUGUGGAGGGACGGCCGUCGUCUUUUGGUGAGGGCUUGAAGAGACGCUGUUUUUCCAUCAUGACUUUGCCUGCUGUGAGAGGACAGCUGUCUGUCAGAGUUUCAUCACUACAGGAACGGUGUAAUGAGGUACACUCGAUGGUAACGCACCGCUGUAGAUGGAUGUGGAAGAUCAGGAACCAGGUCCCAGUGCUGGUUCUCCAGGUACGGCAGAGCAGACUUCAGUGUGAAC